rnacentral:lncRNA from 9 species
CCUAGUAGAAUUCGUUUCUGCUGUACCACUUCAGGAACGCCCUCCUUGUAGUCUAAUUUAUAUACAUGACAAUACUGCUCUGGUUGAGACUCAUCUGACUUUUUAGGAGAUGUCUAGUUUGGAAUGGUCUUGGAUUGCAGAGAAGUUACAGCCAUGCGGGGAGAAUCCCAGAGCCUCCGACCGGCUCCCCUUCGCUGACGUGGUGCCUGUUCGCCCCAGGAACCAACAUGCUUCCUAACGACUAAGCUGUACUCAGGUUUCAUCACCUUCCCCUAACCUUCUUCUCUGUUCCAGGAUCUGAUCCAGGUUCCCACGUUGCAUGUGGUGUCGUGUCCCCAGAGCCUCCUCUGGUCUGUGACACUUUCUCAGGAUUUCUUCCCCUCCUGCUGCCAGCUCACCUGGAACCCAGGAGGGCUUCCUGGAGGCGGCCCCAUCUGGGAUCUUCACGUCACUGCAUCAGAUACUCCGGUUGGACCUGUCACGCGUCGCUGCCACUUCGCUGAUCCCAGACACCCCCCAACCUGACCGUGCGUGGAGGUGAAACGUGCGUUGGAGGAACCUGUGAACGGAGGAGGCCACCUGGGUGCCGACAGCUUGGAGAGACCCCGCCCCACGCUGCGACGGGAGCCGGGAUCUGUCCUAUGAAGAGCUGCAGCCAGAGAGCAGACCAGGCGAGGGGGACAUCCCUGGGUUCGGUUCCCCCCCGACAAUCACACAAGGAUGCCAAGGCCUGGUCUUCAUGGCCAACCCCCCUUUUCUCUUGUUUGCUCUGGCUAGCAGUGGUACCGUCCCCUUAGUGCUGGCAGCUCCACAGCUGCCACCCGUGACCUUGAAAUCCAUCAAGGGCCGCCUCCACUUGUUGGAGAAGCCCGGGCCCAGUUUGAACCCACCACUGUGAAUGUCUGUGCCAAGGGCACUGGUGCCUGCACUGAAGAUCAGAGUUGAGGUGGGUGCUGUCACCGCUGCUGACAGUAGUGCUUGUCGUGGGUGGGAUUGUGACACACACACCCCCCCCCCCCCCGCCGCUGCCACAAAGAGAUGCUGAAGUCCCAACCCCUGGUCCCCGGGAAUGUGAGCUUAUCUGGAAACACGGCCUUUGUAGUUGUGAUUAAGGUGUAAGGAAAGGAGUUCCCCCAGUGCCUCGGCGGAAAUGAAUCCGACUAGGAACCAUGAGCUUGAGGGUUCAAUCCCUGGCCUCGAUCAGUGGGUUGGGGAUCUGGCGUUGCCAUGAGGGUCGCAGAUGCUGCUCAGAUCUGAUGUUGCUGUGGCUGUGACUCUGGCAUAGGCCGCGUCUAUGGCUCCGAUUUGACCCCUAGCCUAGGAACCUCCAUCUGCCGUGGGUGUGGCCCUAAAAAGACAAAAAAAAAAAAAAAGAUGUAAAGUAAGAUGAGGUCGUGCCGGAGUUCCCGUGUGGAUCAGGGGUUAAGUAUCUGGUGUUGUCACUGUAGUGGCUGUGGUUGAUGCUGUGGCAUGGGUUCGAUCCCUGGUCUGGGAACUUCCAUAUGCCGAGGGUGUGGCCAAAAAAAAAAAAAAAAAAAAGAUGCAGUCAUGCUGGGGUAGGGUGAGCCCUUAACCCACUGUGACCGGUGUCCUUAUUAGAAAAGACACAGACAACGUGUGAAAGUGGAGGCAGAGUUCCGAACGAUGUGUCUAGAAGCAGAGGGACGCCAGUGACGGCGGCCAUCCCCAGAAGCCACCGGACAGGUGACUGCCCACAUGCAGCAUUUCCGGCUGCCGCUUGGCCCCGCACCCGGG